UCACGUUUGGCAGCUCCACGUCGACAUUCUUCCAGCUGCAGACUGAACUGCACAGGGCUGUUAGAAGAAGUAAAGGCGACGUGUAGGCACCUUACAAAUAGUGUACUGCAGGUUCCAAAGAAGGACGUCAACCGCUAAAUGAAGCCAAGAAAACGACAGUCUUUCUUGAUAAUUUGUUCAGUAUCCUUCACAGCCUGCUGCUUUUGCAUUUUAUGAUCCAUUUGCCCUCGUGCUGGAUUGCAGCUGGCCCCAUUUAACUGCUUCCACUUCUCUCAGGAGGUCGUGGCUGGAGGGAGAGAGUGAAAGUCCAUUCAAGUCUCCACCAACAGAAUCGCAGGUAAAUGAGUGGUGGAGCUGGUCGGCACACUGGAGUAACCUGUGAUGUGGCACUAUGGCUUUCCAAGUAAAGUUCUGUGGUACACUUAGACUCUGGUUGUUUGCAGUCAGUGCAUUACAGAACUUUGUUUUGGGAGUUUGGUUCUGGCCUGAGGGAUACAAAAAACAUCUGGACAGUGACGAAAUAAUUCACAAGCGACACACAUCGUUGUGUUUCGGAGUUGUUCUUCUGAGAAUAAAGUUUGGUGCCCGGUUGGUUCCCAUGUGUUUACAUUUGCAUUAAUUAUGACAAUAAAGACACAGAAGUCUAAAUGUCCAAACUACACUAUUGUUGCACUACAGUUGGGAUGAAAGUUGCAGUUGUAGAAUGCCUUUGAAGAAUGUUGCAUCAUAUUUAGUAAGAACACACAGAACCAUAUGGACUCAGCAGUCCUGCAUGACUCAACAGAGCGGUGCGAUGGAAAGGUAAACACAACCACUUGGCUAAAGCUACUUUGUCGUGCUAACCCUACAGUGUAAGGUAAAGGUUGGUGUGUGUGUGUGGUUUGUGGUUGUACAAACCUAAAUGUCACGUUUCCAAUUUAGUUGUUUCAUAAUGUUCUCUGGUGCCUUUGAAUUUUUGUGUGAAUGCUGACCGAUGUUCUCUGAUGUUUGAACUAAUGGAAUAAUUAAAUAAAGCUUG